GAACGUGUUGUCGGGCUCCGGCGAUUCGCCUCUGGCGGCGCUGGUGGAGAAUCGGGAGCUACUGAUGAUUCUCACAACGUCGGUGGCGGUGCUGAUCGGCUGCGUGGUGGUGCUGGUGUGGCGGCGAUCGGCCGGCCAGAAGUCUUCCAAGGUGGCCGAGCCUUUGAAACCUCUGACGGUGACGACGGAGCCGGAGCCGGAACCGGAGGUCGAUGACGGAAAGACGAAGGUCGUCAUCUUCUUUGGCACGCAGACUGGUACCGCAGAAGGAUUCGCCAAGGCACUUGCUGAGGAAGGUAAAGCGAGAUAC